GCCCGAUUAACUCAGUUGGUUUAGAGUGUGGGACUUUUACCGCCUUCUUCUGCCGGUUAUCCCAAAGUCGGGGGUUCGACCCCCCCAUCGGGCG
rnacentral:tRNA from 1 species